GACGAACGCUGGCGGCAUGCCUAAUACAUGCAAGUCGAGCGAACAGAUGAGAAGCUUGCUUCUCUGAUGUUAGCGGCGGACGGGUGAGUAACACGUGGGUAACCUACCUAUAAGACUGGGAUAACUCCGGGAAACCGGGGCUAAUACCGGAUAAUAUUUUGAACCGCAUGGUUCGAUAGUGAAAGACGGUUUCGGCUGUCACUUAUAGAUGGACCCGCGCCGUAUUAGCUAGUUGGUAAGGUAACGGCUUACCAAGGCGACGAUACGUAGCCGACCUGAGAGGGUGAUCGGCCACACUGGAACUGAGACACGGUCCAGACUCCUACGGGAGGCAGCAGUAGGGAAUCUUCCGCAAUGGGCGAAAGCCUGACGGAGCAACGCCGCGUGAGUGAUGAAGGUCUUCAGAUCGUAAAACUCUGUUGUUAGGGAAGAACAAAUUUGUUAGUAACUGAACAAGUCUUGACGGUACCUAACCAGAAAGCCACGGCUAACUACGUGCCAGCAGCCGCGGUAA
rnacentral:rRNA from 1 species